CAGUCGGACUGCAGUCUGCAACUCGACUGCACGAAGCUGGAAUCGCUAGUAAUCGCGGAUCAGCACGCCGCGGUGAAUACGUUCCCGGGCCUUGUACACACCGCCCGUCACACCAUGGAAGUCUGCAAUGCCCGAAGCCGGUGGCCUAACCACUUAUGUGGAAGGAGCCGUCUAAGGCAGGGCAGAUGACUGGGGUGAAGUCGUAACAAGGUAAC
rnacentral:rRNA from 1 species